UAGGUAGUAGCCAAUUGGUAAUGGCGUUUAGCUGUUAACUAGAAUUAUAUGGGAUCGAGGCCCAUCUGCCUAG
rnacentral:tRNA from 1 species